UAGAGUUUGAUCAUGGCUCAGAUUGAACGCUGGCGGCAGGCCUAACACAUGCAAGUCGAGCGGAAACGAUGGAAGCUUGCUUCCAGGCGUCGAGCGGCGGACGGGUGAGUAAUGCAUGGGAAUCUGCCCGAUAGUGGGGGAUAACCUGGGGAAACCCAGGCUAAUACCGCAUACGUCCUACGGGAGAAAGCAGGGGAUCUUCGGACCUUGCGCUAUCGGAUGAGCCCAUGUCGGAUUAGCUUGUUGGUGAGGUAAUGGCUCACCAAGGCGACGAUCCGUAGCUGGUCUGAGAGGAUGAUCAGCCACAUCGGGACUGAGACACGGCCCGAACUCCUACGGGAGGCAGCAGUGGGGAAUAUUGGACAAUGGGCGAAAGCCUGAUCCAGCCAUGCCGCGUGUC
rnacentral:rRNA from 1 species